GGGAGAGAUCCGAUUAAUCGAAUGAUUUAUUUACUUAUUUAACUGUCGUGUUUAAUCAGGCCUCACUACUGUCAUGCAGACUCUCCCUCACUCUGGCAGAUACUCUUCUAUCACAGUUCAGUUGUGCCACAGUUCAGUCCUCCUCUCCUCUACACAAAAGAACAUAAAGACUCGAUAUUAAAUACCGGUUCUACUGCACCAGCACAAAAAAUGUACGAGUGAGCUCAAGUGCUUUGUGAAGAACACAAAAGUCCUGAAGAAACAAAGAGGCAGGAACCCGUCUGACCGCUUCUCAAGAGUGUCCCAAAAAAUGUGAACAAUAUAAACAGAGACAUAUUUCAGUCUAAAUCCAGGUUCUGUUUUCUCAGACCAGAACAAAACCAGCUCAGGUCAGACAUCAUCAUCCGUCUCAGCAGCGUCAUUCUACAACUACUGGGGUUAAAGAGUCUGCUGAGGGUCUGGACGGGCGCCGUCCACGUACGACUGGCUGGAGGAUGGCACAUCGGUGGUGGAGAAAUACACAGAGCAUAGUGUGACUCUCAGUAGCCUGCAGAAGCGGAGAUGUGAGGCCGGGAUUGCAAGGACGAUGGGAAAACACACACACACACACACACACAGUUGUGUCCUUGACAAGUGCAAAGUUCUAAACACCCCCUUAUUUACAUGGACGUUUGACUCAAUGAAGACAAAACACACACGUGUGUAUGUAUAUGAAUGUGUGUGUGUGUGUGUGUGUGUGUGUGUGUGUGUGUACAUAGAUUGUGUGCAUCUAAUGCAAACUAUCUGCUCAAGUAUCGCUCACAGCACGUCCAUAAAACAAUAAACCCCACGCCAUGAUGAGUCCCCAGUGCAUGAUGGGAGAAUUCCUCACACUGAAA